AUUAAUUUAGUAUAUUUAGUACAUUUAACUUCCAAUUAAAAAGAUUGAAAAAAAAUUUCAAAAUUAAUA
rnacentral:tRNA from 1 species